GAGCAAGAACCAUCAAGCGUAAGCUUGAUCCAGGAUGGUUCUUGCGACAGGCCGCCGAACGAAUGUGAGGGGGCAAUACCUU
rnacentral:sRNA from 1 species